rnacentral:rRNA from 1 species
GAUGAACGCUGGCGGCGUGCUUAACACAUGCAAGUCGAACGGACUUAUUGGAAUUAAUACUUCGGUAAGCGUUUUAAUAAGUUAGUGGCGGACGGGUGAGUAACGCGUGGGUAACCUGCCUUACACCGGGGGAUAACAGUUGGAAACGACUGCUAAUACCGCAUAAGACCACGGUACCGCAUGGUACUGGGGUAAAAGUUCCGGCGAUGUAAGAUGGACCCGCGUCUGAUUAGCCAGUUGGCGGGGUAACGGCCCACCAAAGCGACGAUCAGUAGCCGACCUGAGAGGGUGAUCGGCCACAUUGGGACUGAGACACGGCCCAAACUCC